rnacentral:rRNA from 1 species
AGUGAACGCUGGCGGUAGGCCUAACACAUGCAAGUCGAACGGCAGCACAGUAAGAGCUUGCUCUUACGGGUGGCGAGUGGCGGACGGGUGAGGAAUACAUCGGAAUCUACUUUUUCGUGGGGGAUAACGUAGGGAAACUUACGCUAAUACCGCAUACGACCUACGGGUGAAAGCAGGGGAUCUUCGGGCCUUGCGCGAUUGAAUGAGCCGAUGUCGGAUUAGCUAGUUGGCGGGGUAAAGGCCCACCAAGGCGACGAUCCGUAGCUGGUCUGAGAGGAUGAUCAGCCAAACGGGAACGGAAACACGGUCCAGACCCCAACGGGGGGCAGGAGGGGGGAAUUUUGGAAAAGGGGCGCAAGCCUGAUCCAGCCAUACCGGGGGGGUGAAGAAGGCCUUGGGGUUGAAAACCCCUUUUGUUGGGAAAAAAAAGCAGCAGGUUAAUCCCCCGCUGUUCGGACGGUACCCAAAAAAUAAGCACCGGCGAACUUCGU